GGUUUUCCUUCGCUUUGGUAGAGCACUGUUAAAUGCAAUUGGUAAUUUAGAGCUCACUGGUGCUUAUGCAGAGGCUUUGAGAAACCUAGGACACAAAUUAGAACAUGUGGCUAUCCAGGAGCCUGAUGCUGCACUUGGUAAUGGGGGUCUUGGGCGGCUUGCCUCUUGUUUUUAGGACUCUUUGGCAACAUUAAAUUACCCAGCCUGGGAUUAUGGACUUAAAAACAAGUAUGGUUUGUUUAAGCAGCGAAUUACAAAAGAUGGGCAGGAGGAAGUUCCUGAAGAUUGGCUUGAGAUGGGCAACCCUUGGGAAAUUGUGAGAAAUGAUGUCUCAUAUCCUAUGAAAUUCUAUGGCAAGGUUGCUUCUGGAUCAGAUGGUAAAAGACACUGGAUUGGAGGAGAAGAUAUAAAGGCUGUUGCUUGUGAUGUUCCCAUUCCAGGAUAUAAAACUAAAACCACUAUCAAUCUGCAGCUUUGGUCAACCAAAGCUCUGUCAAAAUAUUUUGACUUAUAUGCUUUUAACAUAAAAAAUAGUUUGGGGCCAUACAUGUGCUGGAGAUUCUGAAAUUUGGGUGAUAGCAUUUGCAGUGGAAAAAGUUAGGUUUUAUCUUAUUACCAACCUGAUACCCAGCAUCCCCACGUUGUGUCUCUUUUCAAAUUGUGGUUGACUUGACCACCAGUAAUGCCUAUUUUUGGAUGCUUUCUUUAAUUUGUUUAAUUUUUUGUUUA